rnacentral:rRNA from 1 species
GGAUUGCCCUAGUAACGGCGAGUGAAGCGGCAACAGCUCAAAUUUGAAAUCUGGCUCUUUCAGAGUCCGAGUUGUAAUUUGCAGAGGGCGCUUUGGCUUUGGCAGCGGUCCAAGUUCCUUGGAACAGGACGUCACAGAGGGUGAGAAUCCCGUACGUGGUCGCUAGCUAUUGCCGUGUAAAGCCCCUUCGACGAGUCGAGUUGUUUGGGAAUGCAGCUCUAAAUGGGAGGUAAAUUUCUUCUAAAGCUAAAUAUUGGCCAGAGACCGAUAGCGCACAAGUAGAGUGAUCGAAAGAUGAAAAGCACUUUGGAAAGAGAGUCAAACAGCACGUGAAAUUGUUGAAAGGGAAGCGCUUGCAGCCAGACUUGCUUGCAGUUGCUCAUCCGGGCUUUUGCCCGGUGCACUCUUCUGCAGGCAGGCCAGCAUCAGUUUGGGCGGUGGGAUAAAGGUCUCUGUCAUGUACCUCUCUUCGGGGAGGCCUUAUAGGGGAGGCGACAUACCACCAGCCUAGACUGAGGUCCGCGCAUCUGCUAGGAUGCUGGCGUAAUGGCUGUAAGCGGCCCGUCUUGAAACACGGACCAAGGAGUCUAACAUCUAUGCGAGUGUUUGGGUGUCAAGCCCGAGCGCGUAAUGAAAGUGAACGGAGGUGGGAACCCGCAAGGGUGCACCAUCGACCGAUCCUGAAGUUUACGGAAGGAUUUGAGUAAGAGCAUGGCUGUUGGGACCCGAAAGAUGGUGAACUAUGCUUGAAUAGGGUGAAGCCAGAGGAAACUCUGGGGGAGGCUCCCAGCGGUUCUGACGUGCAAAUCGAUCGUCAAAUUUGGGCAUAGGGGCGAAAGACUAAUCGAACUAUCCAG